rnacentral:pre_miRNA from 1 species
UAAUGAUGAUGAUGAUGAUGAUGAUGAUGAUGAUGAUGAUGAUGGUAAUCAUCGUAAUCACCAUCAUUGCUAUUAUCAUCACGGUCAUCAUCAUCAUCAUCAUCUUCA